rnacentral:rRNA from 1 species
GAUGAACGCUGGCGGCGUGCCUAAUACAUGCCAGUCGAGCGAACGGACGAGAAGCUUGCUUCUCUGAUGUUAGCGGCGGACGGGUGAGUAACACGUGGAUAACCUACCUAUAAGACUGGGAUAACUUCGGGAAACCGGGGCUAAUACCGGAUGAUAUUUUGAACCGCAUGGUUCAAAAGUGAAAGACGGUCUUGCUGUCACUUAUAGAUGGAUCCGCGCUGCAUUAGCUAGUUGGUAAGGUAACGGCUUACCAAGGCAACGAUGCAUAGCCGACCUGAGAGGGUGAUCGGCAACACUGGAACUGAGACACGGUCCAGACUCCUACGGGAGGCAGCAGUAGGGAAUCUUCCGCAAUGGGCGAAAGCCUGACGGAGCAACGCCGCGUGAGUGAUGAAGGUCUUCGGAUCGUAAAACUCUGUUAUUAGGGAAGAACAUAUGUGUAAGUAACUGUGCACAUCUUGACGGUACCUAAUCAGAAAGCCACGGCUAACUACGUG